rnacentral:rRNA from 1 species
GAUGAACGCUGGCGGCGUGCCUAAUACAUGCAAGUCGAGCGAACAGACGCGGCGCUUGCUCCUCUGACGUUAGCGGCGGACGGGUGAGUAACACGUGUAUCCCCUACCUAUCAGACUGGUAUAACUUCGGGACACCGGAGAUUAUCCGGGAUAAUCUAUUGAACCACAUGGGUGGAUGGUGAAAUACGGCUUUGCUGUCACUUAUAGCUGGAUCCCGGCCGCAUUGGGUAGUUGGUGAGGUACCGGCCUACCAAGGCAACGAUGCGUAGCCGACCGGUGAGGGGGGUAGGCGACAUGGGAACGGGGACACGGUCCAGAGUCCUAAGGGAGGCAGCAGUAGGGAAUCUGCCGCAAUGGGCGAAAGCCUGACGGAGCAACGCGGAGUGAGUGAUGAAGGUGUUCGGAGCGGAAAAACGGGUUAUGAGUGAAGAACAAAUGUGUAAGGAACUAUGCACGGCUUGACGGUACCUAAUCAGAAAGCCACGGCUAACUACGUG